GUGAGAAACUCAUUCCCCAGAGCAACAGUGUAGAGAGGUGGAACCUGAUGGGAGCCCCGCCCUCACAGACAAACUCCUGUAGCUGUCAAGACAGCUUGGGCAUGGAUUCCUCUCUGCCUUCUGCCAUGUGGACACGUGGCCUUCCUCCCCUCUCUCCUCCGGGGAAUGCAGUGUUUGGGCGCCAUCUUGGAAGCAGAGAUCAGGCCUCACCAGACACCAAGCCUGCUGGCACCAUGACCCUGGACUCCCAACCUCCACAGCUGGGAAAGAACUCUGCUCCCUAGAAAUUACCCAGGCUCGCUCAGGCACCCACUGACUCCAGCCUCAUGGAACCACCAUUCACCAGGCUUGAGGGGAGGAUGUCACGGCGCGCUGCUCCCUUCGGUGCCAGCCAGGAUGGGGCCGGGUGGGUGCAGCUGGUGAAAAGAAAUGCAGCCCCCCAGCCCCUGCAGACCAAGCCGAACAGCCCAGCUCGCGGGUGGAUCACAGGGCACCCAGCAGCCGCCUUCCCUCCGGAAGAGCCAAGAAGGCUUCCAAGACCAGAAAUGCCCCCAGUGUGGCUGUGCCUGUCCCCGGUGCCCCGCCAGCUGGGGGGCAGCAUACCCAAACAGAUGCACCCUGCCCAUGAUGGCACCCCAGGGACCCCCAUCCUCAGGACCCUCCAGUCGUUCAAGCUGGAAUUGGCAGGUUUCUGCCUGUAUAGGCAUCGGCUUCAGAGUCUCAGGUGCUGCUUGGCAGGAAAAUGCAGGGCAGGAGGGGCUGGGCCUCAGCUCGAGGCUCCCAGGUGCAGCCCCCCACUCCACUGCAGGGCCCAGGGGGGCCAAGAACAGCCACAACAACAACAAAAGCCAAACUGGGAACGGAAUCGUGGAAAAAACCCUCAUAGGCUUUUGGGAACUUACAAAGAAAUGCCCACAUCCAUUCUACUAACAUGGCAUCUACUAACGUGGCAUCUACUAGGAUGCCACAAAACAGACAAAUCCUUCCACGUAAGGCUGGACACGUGUCAGGGCGGUGUCUCAAAGCUGGGCCACAGGCAGCAUCCACGGCCAGGCCACUGGGUGGAGGAGACGGUGCUGGGGAGGAGCCGGAGGGAGGGGCCGGGGCUGUUCCCUUAGGCAGAACGGCUCACCUGUGGUGUGCGCACAGCAGGAUUGUGGGGACACAAGAUGCCCCCUUCAUUCAUCAGUUACUUGUAUUCUUUGUAUGAAACACCUGCCGAUAAAAUGUGAAAAAGGGGCAUUUCCUAAAGU
ensembl:lncRNA PRKCZ-AS1 PRKCZ antisense RNA 1